CUUUUGGUCUUUUUGUACUCGUGAUGGGGAUGGUGGAAGAGAUGAAGGGUUUGUGUUGAGUGUAAGCGUAAGGAGGAUGUUGGCAUUGCUGGCAAAGCCCACCUGUAAUUGCCCUUGAACUGAAUGGCUGGCUGGACAAUUUCAGAGGGCACUUGAGUUAACCAUGUUGCUGUGAACCUGGAGUCAUGUAGGCCAGACUGGGCAGAGUCAGUCCUAUGUAAUGGAUUGCCCUCCAGAAGUUUGAACAUUGUUUAGCAAUGGGUGCAGUGCAGUGGUAACAGAUGGAAGUAUGUUCUACCAUGAAUUGAGGUGCAGUGGUAACAGAUGGAAGUAUGUUCUACCAUGGAUUAAGGUGCAGUGGUAACAGAUGGAAGUAUGUUCUACCAUGGAUUAAGGGUGUCAAUGUUCUGAAGACAUAACAACAAAAGAUAUGCAGUUACAAGUUGUUGCCUUGGUCCAUGUUCUUGGAUGGCAGUCUGUUCACAAUUUAAAGUUAAGAGUUAAAAACUUUCCAUUUUAUACCCACCUUUGGUCAGGUUGAACAUUCACUAUUGUAAAUAAAUAAACAUUACAUCUUGCCACUUGAA